GUCUGGUUAAUUCCGAUAACGAACGAGACUCUGGCUUGCUAAAUAGUCGCGCCGGCCGCCGCGCCGGGCGCUGACUUCUUAGAGGGACAAGUGGCGUUCAGCCACGCGAGAUUGAGCAAUAACAGGUCUGUGAUGCCCUUAGAUGUUCGGGGCCGCACGCGCGCUACACUGAAGGGAUCAGCGGGUGGAUCGCCCUUGGCCGGAAGGUCUGGGCAAUCCGUUGAACCUCAUUCGUGCUUGGGAUAGGGAGUUGCAAUUGUCUCCCUUGAACGAGGAAUUCCCAGUAAGCGCGAGUCAUCAGCUCGCGUUGAUUACGUCCCUGCCCUUUGUA
rnacentral:rRNA from 4 species